GCCACGUCAUGUUGAAAUAUUGGUUCCGGUAUGAUCACCAAAGUGAAGCAACGUUGAGACUAGUCAGUACCUAGAUGGGUGACUGCUUGGGAAUACCAAGUGCUGUAAG